GGCUCUAUAGCUCAGUGGUAAGAGCACUGGUCUCAAAACCAGGGUCGCGAAAAGUUCAAUCCUCGCUGGAGCCU
rnacentral:tRNA from 1 species